rnacentral:misc_RNA from 1 species
GAUGAAGAACGCAGCGAAAUGCGAUAAGUAAUGUGAAUUGCAGAAUUCAGUGAAUCAUCGAAUCUUUGAACGCACCUUGCGCCCUUUGGCCAUUCCGAAGGGCAUGCCUGUUUGAGUAUCAUGAACACCUCAACUCUUCAUGGUUUUCCGUGAUGAGCUUGGACUUUGGGGGUCUUGCUGGCCUAUGGUCAGCUCCUCUAAAAUAAAUCAGCUUGCCAGUGUUUGGUGGGUAUCACAGGUGUGAUAACUAUCUACGCUUGUGGUUUUCCACCAGGUAACCUUCAGCAGUGGAGGUUCGCUGGAGCUCACAGAUGUGUCUCUCCUCAGUGAGGACAGCUCUUUGAAUGUUUGAUCUCAAAUCAGGUAGGACUACCCGCUGAACUUAAGCAUAUCAAUAACGGAGGA